rnacentral:rRNA from 1 species
CCUGGUGGCUAUAGCGGAGGGGUCCCACCUGUUCCCAUUCCGAACACAGAAGUUAAGCCCUCCAGCGCCGAUGGUACUGCACUGGCCACGGUGUGGGAGAGUAGGUCGCUGCCAGGA